rnacentral:lncRNA from 1 species
GAAAAUAUUUUUGUAUUUUUUGAAUAUCAAAAACUAUUUAAAAUGAAUUAAAAAUAACUAGAAAAGAGAAAAUUCACAAAAAAUAUCAAAUGACAAAAUAAAAAAAAAUAAAAAUCAAUUUUAGAAACUAGAAUUUAUUUGGAGAAGAAUGCAAUUGGUCCCAUAUUUUUUGGAUUGAAAAUGAAGAAGAUAUGAAUUUUUGAAAUG